UACGAAGGGGGCUAGCGUUGUUCGGAUUUACUGGGCGUAAAGCGCGCGUAGGCGGGUCUGUAAGUCGGGUGUGAAAUCCUGGAGCUCAACUCCAGAACGGCCUUCGAUACUGGCGAUCUCGAGUCCGGAAGAGGUGAGUGGAACUCCUAGUGUAGAGGUGGAAUUCGUAGAUAUUAGGAAGAACACCAGUGGCGAAGGCGGCUCACUGGUCCGGUACUGACGCUGAGGUGCGAAAGCGUGGGGAGCAAACAGG
rnacentral:rRNA from 1 species